UCCCUGGUGGCUCAGAUGGUAAAGCGUCUGCCUGUAAUGCAGGAGACCCGGGCUUGAUCCCUGGCUUGUGAA
rfam:TPA: Bos taurus chromosome 12, whole genome shotgun sequence.